rnacentral:rRNA from 1 species
UGCAGUCGAACGAUGAAAGCGGGAGCUUGCUCCUGCUGGAUUAGUGGCGAACGGGUGAGUAACACGUGAGUAACCUGCCCUUGACUCUGGGAUAAGCGUUGGAAACGACGUCUAGUACCGGAUACGACCUUCGGAGGCAUCUCCUGGGGGUGGAAAGAAUUUCGGUCAAGGAUGGACUCGCGGCCUAUCAGCUAGUUGGUGAGGUAAUAGCUCACCAAGGCGGCGACGGGUAGCCGGCCUGAGAGGGUGACCGGCCACACUGGGACUGAGACACGGCCCAGACUCCUACGGGAGGCAGCAGUGGGGAAUAUUGCACAAUGGGCGAAAGCCUGAUGCAGCAACGCCGCGUGAGGGACGACGGCCUUCGGGUUGUAAACCUCUUUUAGUAGGGAAGAAGCGAAAGUGACGGUACCUGCAGAAAAAGCACCGGCUAACUACGUGCCAGCAGCCGCGGUAAUACGUAGGGUGCAAGCGUUAUCCGGAAUUAUUGGGCGUAAAGAGCUCGUAGGCGGUUUGUCACGUCUGCUGUGAAAACUGGAGGCUCAACCUCCAGCCUGCAGUGGGUACGGGCAGACUAGAGUGCGGUAGGGGAGAUUGGAAUUCCUGGUGUAGCGGUGGAAUGCGCAGAUAUCAGGAGGAACACCGAUGGCGAAGGCAGAUCUCUGGGCCGUAACUGACGCUGAGGAGCGAAAGCAUGGGGAGCGAACAGGAUUAGAUACCCUGGUAGUCCAUGCCGUAAACGUUGGGAACUAGAUGUAGGGACUAUUCCACGGUUUCUGUGUCGCAGCUAACGCAUUAAGUUCCCCGCCUGGGGAGUACGGCCGCAAGGCUAAAACUCAAAGGAAUUGACGGGGGCCCGCACAAGCGGCGGAGCAUGCGGAUUAAUUCGAUGCAACGCGAAGAACCUUACCAAGGCUUGACAUAUACCGGAAAAGUUCAGAAAUGUUCUCCCCGCAAGGUCGGUAUACAGGUGGUGCAUGGUUGUCGUCAGCUCGUGUCGUGAGAUGUUGGGUUAAGUCCCGCAACGAGCGCAACCUUCGUUCUAUGUUGCCAGCACGUAAUGGU